CGUUCGUCGCGAGAACGACGGCGGCACUUGCUGUGUUUCCUCCCCCAGUUCCUCUCUCAAACCCUCUGUUUCCUCUCUGAAAAUCUUCCCAUUUUCUGGUCUGUCAUCCCCCAAUCACGAUGAAACCCCCUUUUUCAGUCGAAUUCUUAAACGAGAACCUCAACGGCAACUUUCUCGGCCUGUCCGAGAAAAUUCCGAGGAUUUUGAGGGGUAGGAAAUCUCGGUUGUGUUUGAAUUCGAAGAAAGCAGAAACCACCAAUGGAACUGGAGAUGAGAUUGACGAGACAGAGAGAUUGGCGAGAGGAGAGAGUACAAUGCCUGAUAGAUUCAGGUACUUGACUAAAGAAGCAACUGAUCCUCCCGUGAGGUGGCCUGGGUUUGUGGAAGAAUAAAGGACGGAUACAUUUGCAGUUGAGUAGGAGAAAGGAUAAGAAAUCUUUAUGGAAUCUUGCUUCAAUCUUUCUCUGCCUUGCUUUUCUUUGAUCUAUGUUCUCAUCAAGAAAGCCUUCUAAGAUGAUUACUCAUAUACAAACGUAGCAGUUCUUUGUUUUUUUUUUCUCUUUUAUAACAAUAUCAAAAAGAUCUCAGCAAAGAAUCAGAUGGUAGAAUUUCUCUCACCGAAGAAAUAUAUGCCAGCAUGGGGAGGCACGAAGAAGCGCAGAAAAUGAGAAAGGAAAA